GACCACAUAGCGUAGUGGAUUAGCACAUCUGACUUCAGAUUAGAAGGUCAUGGGUUUGACUCCCAUUGUGGUUG